AUGAACAUUGCCCUGCUAACGAGAUGGUUGGGGCGGAUUGCCAAUGGAGAAGGUGGCCUGUGGCUUCGCCUCAUUCAGCAGAAAUACCUCCGUGGCCAGCCCCUCGCCUUCUGCCAGCGGUCUGGAGGUUCAAAAUUCUGGCAAUCCAUCAUCCAGCUCCUGCCUAUCCUCCGCAUUGGCACCUCGAUUGCGGUGGGCUCGGGCACCUCCACGAUGUUAUGGUUCGAUUGAUGGGCUGGGGAUACUCCCCUCGCAGCCCGGUUUCCUGACCUAUUCUCCAUCGCGGUUGAUCCGCGGAUCUCUAUCGCGACGGCCCUUAUUGACUUAGGGCAACUCGCGUUUCGGAGAACGUUUGGCCCGGUUGAGAACGCGGACUGGAAUGAGCUGCUGGAAUGCAUAGCGCUGCACGAGCCUGAUCUGGAGAUGGGAGAAGACCGUGCCAGGUGGCGUCUAGAGCCAUCGGGGCAAUUCUCCACUAAAUCUCUAUACCAGGCCAUAGCUCCCUCACUGGGACAUGAGGCACUCACUUCCAUUUGGGAAAUCCGGCUCCCAUUGAAGAUUAGGAUCUUCUUAUGGCAAUGGAUUCGCAGUCGCCUCCCCUCUGGCGUAGAGGUCCUGAAGCGCACUGGACCAGGGGAUGGGCGCUGCCCGCUUUGCGGGCCGGAGGAGGAUUCGAACCAUAUCUUCUUGUGA
rnacentral:rRNA from 1 species